AUGAAGCCACUUGAGUGCAUCACUGGAGGUGCAUGGGGGGAGGCUGCAGGCCCCUGCUGGGACCCCAUUGUGGAGCACCUGGGACCCCAUGAAGGCUGGACUAGAUGGUUCUCAGAGCUCCCUCCCCACCCUUAUAGGCUGAUGUGGGGACAGGGAGGCCAGAUUAGAAUUCCCCAGGCUCUGCCUUCAGGGAGGCAGCUGGCCUGGCUGGGCUGCUCCGGGUGCCCCCUGCCCCAAUCUCCUCUCUUGACAGCCCUUCUCUGGCCUGGCAUGUCCCACAGAGCCCAGGGCUCAUGUGCUGCCCGCCCUGUGCUCCCAGGACCAAUGAGUGAUCACAAGGUCCAAGGUCAGACCUGCUCACUUGGAGCUGGCUGGAGGGCAAAGAUGCAAAUGAGAGGGGCAAGGUGGGGGGCAGGGGGUGAAGGAGGCCAUCGUUCGUCCAGUCUGGGCCACUGGGGCAGGUUUCAUAGAUGAGGCACCCUUUGAACUGGUUUGAGAGAGAGCUGAGAGUUUGCCAGGGAUGUGGGGAGAAAAAGGGCUUCUUAAGUAUAGAGAACAGCCAAGACCAGUGUCGGGUGGGGUAGUUAAGGGCCUCUUGGCUUUCUCCUUUUUGUAGCUGACAUUUGGCAGUAGCCACAGAUGAAGCUGUUGGUGGGGGUCUCUGAGGCGAGAUCCCAGGUUAGAGAGCAGAAUCUGUUGGUGCCGGUGUGCAGGGAGGGGCGCUGGUGUAGCAGAGCAGGCUGAGGCAAG
rnacentral:lncRNA from 1 species